rnacentral:siRNA from 1 species
CAAAUCUGUCGCGAAGGUGGACA